GGGUUGUGAGGUUAAGCGACUAAGCGUACACGGUGGAUGCCCUGGCAGUCAGAGGCGAUGAAGGGCGUGCUAAUCUGCGAUAAGCGCCGGUAAGGUGAUAUGAACCGUUAUAACCGGCGAUACCCGAAUGGGGAAACCCAGUGUGAUUCGUCACACUAUCAUUAACUGAAUCCAUAGGUUAAUGAGGCGAACCGGGGGAACUGAAACAUCUAAGUACCCCGAGGAAAAGAAAUCAACCGAGAUUCCCCCAGUAGCGGCGAGCGAACGGGGAGGAGCCCAGAGCCUGAAUCAGCAUGUGUGUUAGUGGAAGCGUCUGGAAAGGCGCGCGAUACAGGGUGACAGCCCCGUACACAAAAGCGCAUGUGCUGUGAGCUCGAUGAGUAGGGCGGGACACGUGGUAUCCUGUCUGAAUAUGGGGGGACCAUCCUCCAAGGCUAAAUACUCCUGACUGACCGAUAGUGAACCAGUACCGUGAGGGAAAGGCGAAAAGAACCCCGGCGAGGGGAGUGAAAAAGAACCUGAAACCGUGUACGUACAAGCAGUGGGAGCACCCUUCGGGGUGUGACUGCGUACCUUUUGUAUAAUGGGUCAGCGACUUAUAUUCUGUAGCAAGGUUAACCGAAUAGGGGAGCCGGAGGGAAACCGAGUCUUAAUUGGGCGUUAAGUUGCAGGGUAUAGACCCGAAACCCGGUGAUCUAGCCAUGGGCAGGUUGAAGGUUGGGUAACACUAACUGGAGGACCGAACCGACUAAUGUUGAAAAAUUAGCGGAUGACCUGUGGCUGGGGGUGAAAGGCCAAUCAAACCGGGAGAUAGCUGGUUCUCCCCGAAAGCUAUUUAGGUAGCGCCUCGUGAAUUCAUCUCCGGGGGUAGAGCACUGUUUCGGCUAGGGGGCCAUCCCGGCUUACCAACCCGAUGCAAACUGCGAAUACCGGAGAAUGUUAUCACGGGAGACACACGGCGGGUGCUAACGUCCGUCGUGAAGAGGGAAACAACCCAGACCGCCAGCUAAGGUCCCAAAGUCAUGGUUAAGUGGGAAACGAUGUGGGAAGGCCCAGACAGCCAGGAUGUUGGCUUAGAAGCAGCCAUCAUUUAAAGAAAGCGUAAUAGCUCACUGGUCGAGUCGGCCUGCGCGGAAGAUGUAACGGGGCUAAACCAUGCACCGAAGCUGCGGCAGCGACACUGUGUGUUGUUGGGUAGGGGAGCGUUCUGUAAGCCUGCGAAGGUGGCCUGUGAGGGUUGCUGGAGGUAUCAGAAGUGCGAAUGCUGACAUAAGUAACGAUAAAGCGGGUGAAAAGCCCGCUCGCCGGAAGACCAAGGGUUCCUGUCCAACGUUAAUCGGGGCAGGGUGAGUCGACCCCUAAGGCGAGGCCGAAAGGCGUAGUCGAUGGGAAACGGGUUAAUAUUCCCGUACUUGGUGUUACUGCGAAGGGGGGACGGAGAAGGCUAUGUUGGCCGGGCGACGGUUGUCCCGGUUUAAGCGUGUAGGCUGGUUUUCCAGGCAAAUCCGGAAAAUCAAGGCUGAGGCGUGACGACGAGGCACUACGGUGCUGAAGCAACAAAUGCCCUGCUUCCAGGAAAAGCCUCUAAGCAUCAGGUAACAUCAAAUCGUACCCCAAACCGACACAGGUGGUCAGGUAGAGAAUACCAAGGCGCUUGAGAGAACUCGGGUGAAGGAACUAGGCAAAAUGGUGCCGUAACUUCGGGAGAAGGCACGCUGACAUGUAGGUGAAGUGAUUUACUCAUGGAGCUGAAGUCAGUCGAAGAUACCAGCUGGCUGCAACUGUUUAUUAAAAACACAGCACUGUGCAAACACGAAAGUGGACGUAUACGGUGUGACGCCUGCCCGGUGCCGGAAGGUUAAUUGAUGGGGUCAGCGCAAGCGAAGCUCCUGAUCGAAGCCCCGGUAAACGGCGGCCGUAACUAUAACGGUCCUAAGGUAGCGAAAUUCCUUGUCGGGUAAGUUCCGACCUGCACGAAUGGCGUAAUGAUGGCCAGGCUGUCUCCACCCGAGACUCAGUGAAAUUGAACUCGCUGUGAAGAUGCAGUGUACCCGCGGCAAGACGGAAAGACCCCGUGAACCUUUACUAUAGCUUGACACUGAACAUUGAGCCUUGAUGUGUAGGAUAGGUGGGAGGCUUUGAAGCGUGGACGCCAGUCUGCGUGGAGCCGACCUUGAAAUACCACCCUUUAAUGUUUGAUGUUCUAACGUGGACCCGUGAUCCGGGUUGCGGACAGUGUCUGGUGGGUAGUUUGACUGGGGCGGUCUCCUCCUAAAGAGUAACGGAGGAGCACGAAGGUUGGCUAAUCCUGGUCGGACAUCAGGAGGUUAGUGCAAUGGCAUAAGCCAGCUUGACUGCGAGCGUGACGGCGCGAGCAGGUGCGAAAGCAGGUCAUAGUGAUCCGGUGGUUCUGAAUGGAAGGGCCAUCGCUCAACGGAUAAAAGGUACUCCGGGGAUAACAGGCUGAUACCGCCCAAGAGUUCAUAUCGACGGCGGUGUUUGGCACCUCGAUGUCGGCUCAUCACAUCCUGGGGCUGAAGUAGGUCCCAAGGGUAUGGCUGUUCGCCAUUUAAAGUGGUACGCGAGCUGGGUUUAGAACGUCGUGAGACAGUUCGGUCCCUAUCUGCCGUGGGCGCUGGAGAACUGAGGGGGGCUGCUCCUAGUACGAGAGGACCGGAGUGGACGCAUCACUGGUGUUCGGGUUGUCAUGCCAAUGGCACUGCCCGGUAGCUAAAUGCGGAAGAGAUAAGUGCUGAAAGCAUCUAAGCACGAAACUUGCCCCGAGAUGAGUUCUCCCUGAGACUUAAAGUCUCCUGAAGGAACGUUGAAGACGACGACGUUGAUAGGCCGGGUGUGUAAGCGCAGCGAUGCGUUGAGCUAACCGGUACUAAUGAACCGUGAGGCUUAACCUUACAACGCCGAAG
rnacentral:rRNA from 2 species